CCUUACCGAGAGGCAGCAGUGGGGGAAUUUUGGACAAUGGGCGAAAGCUGAUCCAGCGACGCCGCGUGAGGACGAAGCCCUUCGGGGGUGUAAACCUCUGUUGUGAGGGACGAAUAAGAUCUGGAGGGAAAUGCCAGAUCGAUGACGGUACCUCACGAGAAAGCCCGGCUAACUACGUGCCAGCAGCCGCGGUAAUACGUAGGGGGCGAGCGUUACCCGGGAUUCACUGGGCGUAAAGGGGGCGCAGGCGAUCCAGUAUGUCGGGUGUGAAAUCCCACAGCUCAACUGUGGAAUUGCGCCCGAAACUACUGGGUUUGGGGCUGGUAGAGGGAGACGGAACUGCUGGUGUAGGGGUGAAAUCCGUAGAUAUCAGCAGGAACGCCGGUGGGGAAGCCGGUCUCCUGGGCCAAGCCCGACGCUGAGGCCCGAAAGCUAGGGGAGCAAACCGGAUUAUAUACCCGGGUAGUCCUAGCCGUAAACGAUGCCCACUAGGUGUGGGGGAGUCAUUCCUCCGUGCUGUAGCUAACGCGUUAAGUGGGCCGCCUGGGGAGUACGCCCGCAAGGGUGAAACUCAAAGGAAUUGGCGGGACCCCGCACAAGCGGUGGAGCGUGUGGUUUAAUUGGAUGCUAAGCCAAGAACCUUACCAGGGCUUGACAUGCAGGUGGUACCAACCCGAAAGGGAAGGGACCCUUUCCUUUUGGAAAGGGAGCCUGCACAGGUGGUGCACGGCCGUCGUCAGCUCGUGCCGUGAGGUGUUGGGUUAAGUCCCGCAACGAGCGCAACCCCUGCCCUUAGUUGCCAGCGGUUCGGCCGGGCACUCUAAGGGGACCGCCGGCGACGAGCCGGAGGAAGGAGGGGACGACGUCAGGUACUCGUGCCCUUUAUGCCCUGGGCUACACACGCGCUACAAUGGGUGGUACAGUGGGUCGCGACCUCGCGAGAGGGAGCCAAUCCCCAAAACCAUCCUCAGUUCAGAUCGCAGGCUGCAACCCGCCUGCGUGAAGCCGGAAUCGCUAGUAAUCGCGGAUCAGCCAUGCCGCGGUGAAUACGUUCCCGGGGUU
rnacentral:rRNA from 1 species